ACACCCUGUUCCUGAGCCUGAAGACAUUGCAACAUUAAUUGAGUAAUUUACAGUAGCGCUUUCUUCUACAAUGUCCGAAGAAGUGACUUACGCGACACUCACAUUUCAGGAUUCUGUUGGAGCAAGAAAUAACCGGGAUAGAAAUAACCUAAGGAAAAGAGGGUGUCCAGCUCCUUCCCCCAUCUGGCGCCAGGCUGCCCUGAGUCUGUUAACUCUUUGUCUGAUGCUGCUGAUUGGGCUGGUGACCUUGGGGAUCAUGCUUUUGCAGACAUCUCAUGAAAUUAACUCAGAUUCAGAGAGAUUAAGUCAACUGCAAAAAACCAUCCACCAACAGCAAGAUAACUUCUCCCAGCAGCUGAGUGACUACAGGAAUUUUCCCACUGAGGAGGAGCAUCUCAAAUCCCAGAUCUCCAGUCUAUUGAAGCGGCAGGAACAUAUGGCCAUCAAGCUCUGCCAAGAGCUGAUCAUUCGCACUUCAGACCACAAAUGCAAUCCUUGCCCUAAAAUGUGGCAAUGGUACCAAAACAGCUGCUAUUAUUUUGCAACAAAUGAGGAAAAUACCUGGAUUAACAGUAGAAAUAACUGCCUGGACCAGAAUUCCACCUUGGUGAAGAUAGAUAGCUUGGAGGAAAAGGAUUUUCUGAAGUCACAGCCAUUACCCAAGUUUUCUUUCUUCUGGUUGGGCUUAUCAUGGGAUCCAUCUGGAAAGAGCUGGCUAUGGGAGGAUGGCUCCAUUCCGUCUCCAUCGUUAUUCAGCCCUCGAGAAUACACCCAGAUCAACGGAUCCAGAGGAUGUGCCUAUUUUCAGAAAGGGAAGAUUUAUCUUUCCCGCUGCAGCGCUGAAAUUUCUUGGAUUUGUGAGAAGACAGCUACAUUAGUGAAGAUCGAAGAUCUGGAUUAAUACGCAUCUUCCGAAUUCACCAAGAUGUAAGGGACUUGUGAUUACGUUCAUGGGAAGAAAGAGAAGGCUACCGGACCACAGCCAAAAACAUGAAAAGAUGACGGUAACUUUCCUGCGGCGUAGCUGGUCAGCGUCCCUGCACGGUAGUCGCCAAACAUCGUAAAUCUAGCUUGAACGUUUUUCUGGGACAAAAUUGCUUAUUCGGUGAAGGAGAUGGUUUUUACUUGCUCCUCAUAUAAUUGUGCAGCUGCGUAGAGGCUCGAUAGAAUGGGCAGGUGUGAUAGUAGUAAAACUGGACAGGAAGAGGAUAGAAUUAACUUUUAAAACUGAGAAUUCAUUGUGAAGCAGAGGACUGAAGAGGCGGUCAAAUUUAACAAGACAAUCCUGAAGCCAAUGGAAUUCUGUUCCUCAGGGGGAGAAAUUCAAGUCAUGAAAGACCAGAAGAGGCUUCUAGGCUGCACCAGCAGGAGGCAGCAGACUAUCAGUGAGAGGGACAGUUUCUGGCUUACAGCUCCUAAACUCCUUGGAAUUUCCUAAGUGAUAAAUACAAUGGGAACAUCUUUUAUUAUAACAUUUGGUCUCUGGUCCUCAAUUCCUGAAAUCAAGCCACUUCAGAGCCCUAAAGAUAUAUUCCAAGAUUUUGAACCCAGUAAAGAUUCGAGGGGAAGAUGGAGAACCCGGUUACUGAAGAGACUAUAUGAAACCAUUUCACUCACAAUUUUCCUCCUGCUUUAAGUCUUCACAGUAUUUUGCAGUGAAGUUGUUCAGCUCAUGUAAUGUGUCUUCUGUCAUAUUUUUGAAACUGAUAUGCUCAUUUGAGAUAUUAUUACAUAUAUUCAUGUAUAGUGUUACAUUUUUCUCCCAUUGUUGUAUUAUGCUUUGUUGAAUGUAAUCCACUGUUCUGUUGCCAAAGAUGAGUUCUUGGUAAUCUAUAAUUUGUAUCAGGAGAUUAAUAACUUUAACAUAGUCAAACUUUUCUAAUAAAUUAUAUUAAUGUCACCAUAA